ACGAACGCUGGCGGCGUGCUUAACACAUGCAAGUCGAACGGAAAGGCCCUGCUUUUGUGGGGUGCUCGAGUGGCGAACGGGUGAGUAACACGUGAGUAACCUGCCCUUGACUUUGGGAUAACUUCAGGAAACUGGGGCUAAUACCGGAUAGGAGCUCCUGCUGCAUGGUGGGGGUUGGAAAGUUUCGGCGGUUGGGGAUGGACUCGCGGCUUAUCAGCUUGUUGGUGGGGUAGUGGCUUACCAAGGCUUUGACGGGUAGCCGGCCUGAGAGGGUGACCGGCCACAUUGGGACUGAGAUACGGCCCAGACUCCUACGGGAGGCAGCAGUGGGGAAUAUUGCACAAUGGGCGGAAGCCUGAUGCAGCAACGCCGCGUGCGGGAUGACGGCCUUCGGGUUGUAAACCGCUUUCGCCUGUGACGAGGCGUGAGUGACGGUAAUGGGGAAAGAAGCACCGGCUAACUACGU
rnacentral:rRNA from 1 species